rnacentral:SRP_RNA from 1 species
AUGUACUAGAUGGGGAGCUAGCGGUGCCCUGUAACCUACAAUCCGCUACAGUAGGAUCGAUCGCCCGCCGAGGGUUAUUAUAUGGAAAGCCGGUUGUAGCAAGGGAUGUUGAUGUCAAGGUCUUGUGCAACUUCUGUGUUGUGAACCGUGUCAGGGUUGAAAUAGCAGCACUAAGCAAUUACUGGGUGUGCCACGAGGAAGCUUUGAAGGAGUAACCUACUAUAAUGUCGAUUCGGUAUAGUUUCACAGAGCGGGUGUACUU